AGUAAAUAGAUACCCCGGUAGUCCACGCCGUAAACGAUGAGUACUAGGUGUAGGAGGUAUCGACUCCUUCUGUGCCGCAGUUAAACACAAUAAGUACUCCGCCUGGGAAGUACGGUCGCAAGAUUAAAACUCAAAGGAAUUGACGGGGGCCCGCACAAGCAGCGGAGCAUGUGGUUUAAAUUCGAAGCAACGCGAAGAACCUUACCUAGACUUGACAUCUCCUGAAUAGUGUAGAGAUACAUGAAGCCCUUCGGGGCAGGAAGACAGGUGGUGCAUGGUUGUCGUCGAGCUCGUGUCGUGAGAUGUU
rnacentral:rRNA from 1 species